rnacentral:rRNA from 1 species
UUGGUAGGGGUAACGGGCCGUACCAAGGCGAUGAUGCAUAGCCGAGUUGAGGACUGAUCGGCCACAUUGGGGACUGAGACACGGGCCCAAACUCCUACGGGAGGCAGCAGUAGGGAAUCUUCCACAAUGGACGCAAGUCUGAUGGAGCAAACGCCGCGUGAGUGAAGAAGGGUUUCGGCUCGUAAAAAAGCUCUGUUGUUGGUGAAGAAGGACAGGGGUAGUAACUGACCCUUUGUUUGACGGUAAUCAAUUAGAAAGUCACGGGCUAACUACGUGCCAGCAGCCGCGGUAAAU